rnacentral:misc_RNA from 1 species
UCGAGAGCACUUAUUAAAUGAAAGGUAUUGCUCGGUGAGGAGAACCUGGCUUUAGAUUUUUAUUAGCAUUAUCCAUCAAGAAUUUAUGAUCAUUGUCAAGUCAGCCAACUGUUACCAUGUAUGGAACUUUUAAUUCUGCUUUUGGUUAUAUUCUGGCCAAUUAGGUGAUAUUGAUUACUGCAGUAAAGGGAAUAUUUUCGUAGUUGGAUAUUAACUUAUAAAAUCCAUUGUAAUGUGGUGUUGGUCUGUGCUUGGUGGGACCGAUGAGCAUACUGAAAUGCAGGUGUGCCAUCAAUUGAAAAUUGGGACUGAAACUCCUGAGCCCUUGGACUUGGGGUUAAUUUCAAGUUGCAGAUUCUAAACUACUUCAUUUCAGACUACUUUUUUUUUCUUGAGGCAAUCUUACAUUUUUAAAUAUUAAUUUUAUUUUGUAGUCAUUAGUUCUUUGAGCACCAAAUUUCUUAUCAGG